rnacentral:rRNA from 1 species
GGCGUAGGCGGUCCGGAAAGUCGGGUGUGAAAUCCCUGGGCUUAACCCAGGACGUGCAUUCGAAACUGUCGGACUUGAAUACUGGAGGGGGUGACGGAAUUCCCGGUGUAGAGGUGAAAUUCGUAGAUAUCGGGAGGAACACCAGUGGCGAAGGCGGUCACCUGGACAGAUAUUGACGCUGAGGCCCGAAAGCGUGGGGAGCAAACA